CCUUUUAUAUUCCACUGAUAGGGCGCUAACAGACAAUUAAUUUUUUAAUUAUACCAAACGAAAAAUAGAUAUCGAAAUUCUAAAGAAAUAAAAUUCUAAAUAAAUAAACAGAGAGUUUCUUAUUCGAAACGUCCCGUGAUCUUCAACCAAUUCUGCGCUUGAAUAUAAUUACCAGGAGUAAGCGCAAUAGCUUGUUUCCAAUACUCGGCAGCUUGAUUGAACCAAGCCUCCGCAAUUUCAGAAUCUCCCUGUCGAACGGCCUGUUCCCCCCGGUCGGAAUAGGUGGUUUCAAUUCCUUUCCUUAGAACCGUACUUGAGAGUUUCCCCGCCUCAUACGGCUCGGCAAUCAAUUCUUUUUGGUGUCCCGGGUUUUUGAAUCUAGUAUAUCGAAUUGAAUGAGAUUUCUCAUAGAUCGAUCUUUAUCUUUAUUCUUUUUUUUGGGGGUUAACCAAAAGAGGUUAAUUCCCAUGAGCCUAUGAGUUUCAAACUUGACUUUUGAUUAAAUUAAUAAUCAGCUUUGCUUUCAUUUUAUCUUUUCUCCCACCGUCAGAAGAAUAACAUAGAAGCAUUUCCACUAUAGUUAGAAUUUUCUGAAAGGUAUCUAUCUCGGUUUCAUAUAAAAAUUGAUAUAGAAUCUUUGAAAAAGCCCUUUCUUCCUAAGAAAGAAAAGGCUUACUGUCUUUGGGAUCUGAUGCUACACCGCUGCCUCAAUACCUUAGGGGAUCGACUUUAUUACAUAAGUGGAUUCCUUACUUUUAUCUCAUAUCAUGACAUAAAUAAGCAGUUCUUAUUGGAUCGGCAUCGGCCCAAAACCUCGCGAAUUGAUCUUUACGGUGCUUCCUCUAUCAAUUAGAUCCUUUAUCCAUAGAAUAAACUAUCUAGGCAUAUCGAUUUCUUCAUAUUUCGACUUCUAUGAAGUUUCUUUCUUUGCUACAGCUGAUAAAAAUCGUUUUUGCACGAUGCAUAUGUAGAAAGCCUAUUUUUUUUUUUUCGAGUAUUUAUUAGUGUAUUUGCUCUUUUACCCCCCUCCUUUUUUUUUUUCUUUUACUUUUUUCUUUCUAUAGUAGAGAUAGUCGCACGUAAUGACAGAUCACAGCCAUAUUAUUAAAAAGCUUGUGGUAAGAACGGAUUUCGUUCUAGUGCCCGAAAAUAAUAUUCUAAAGCUUUUGUAUGUUCUCCGUUACUUGUGUGGAUAAGGCCUAUGUUAUAGAGUAUAUAGCUUCGAUCGUAAGGAUCAAUUUCUAGUCGCAUAGCUUCAUAAUAAUUCUGUAAAGCUUCCGCAUAAUUGCCUUCAGAUUGAGCUGACAUCCGUUACGGUCGUCAUUCGAUUCAAAGAAUUCUCCGUUUCAAAACCGUACAUGAGAUGAAAAUCUCAUACGGCUCCUCCUUUAUGUGCAUUAUGAGAAUAAUCCAUGAAAUCAAAAAAGAUUGAAAUAUUCUCAUUAUGAACUAAGUGGGGCUAAUGUUUUUACAAGAAAUCUCUAGCCAACCUUCCUGCAAAAGCUUUUUUCUUAAUAUCACGCGUGUUGGUACUAGAUAAAACCGGAAACUCCAACAAUUUCUUUGUUCUCAACGCCCUUAAUUUACAGGAAUUAAUCACUUCAACAGUCUUCGAUGGUUAUACGGGUAUCCACAGUACGAACGAGAUGGAUGUUUGUUAUCCCAACCAUUCUUCUUAGUCCCGAUCCGCUAAGGAAAGGGGGCAGCUUAUAACAAAAGUUUUCGUGUUGCUGAUUCCUAGACGUAGCGCCUCUUCCCCUAUGCCGCCUAUUGGUACUGGUGUAGUAGGGUUGACUUGCAAUACAGAACCCAUAGGUGUAACCUUUCGCUCAAUACUAGAAUCGACAAUUGAAGCAUCUGAGGCUGCAUUAAUCGGGGAUACACGACAGAAGGAAUGGUUUUAUCUAUAAACUUCACCUUCAACAAGCGUAGAUUUUUUCAAUAAUCUUUUUUUUUUUUUUUUUCUAUCCGAAUUGUCUUUCUUUCUUCUAAGACCGAAAGGGGUAAAUAAAAAACUAAUCAAAUCGCACCAUCUCUGUAAUAGGUAAUGCCUCUUUUUCUCCUACAGUUGUUCGGAAUUAUUCGUAAUAAUAUAUUGGCUACCAAUCGAAAAGGUCUUAUCAAUAAAAAUUUCCGUUUAUUCCGCGAUCUAGGCAUAGGUAAAAAAUCCAUUCUAUAAUUCGUUUUCAUUACCUCUCUUGUGAGAAAAUGAUCCCACAAACAAAAGGAAUUGUACAGUACAAAAUAACAUAAAAGCAGACGUGUUAAAAAAAAUAAAAAAAAAAAUAGACCGAUCCGUUGAUUUCGUUCCAACUCAUUGAUUAAAUCAGUAGAAAUAUCAGAAAAAAAAAAAAAAGGAGCGCCAUCUUUGCAAACAAGAUAUAUAGCCUUAUUGUUUUUUGUUUUGAACAGUUUUUCACAAACAAAAAAGUUAUCCUUUUCCCCAGACUCAAAGGAAGAAUUUUUUUCUUUGCUGAAAAGGGUUUCUAUUUUUCUAGUUAGAACGGAUUCGAUUGUUCCCGUAUCCCAUCUACCCAAUGCGAGAUUUGAACAACUCGCUAUUCACGCGCGGUUUCUCUCGGUCAUAAUCAUUGUGUAGGAGAGGAUGGCCGAGUGGUUCAAGGCGUAGCAUUGGUAACUGCUAUGUAGACUUUUGUUUACCGGGGGUUCGAAUCCCUCUCUUUCCGUACCCUUGAACUAAUUUCAAUCAAUGUUACUGACCGGAAUGUAUCCAAGCAAAAAAGAAUGAAUACCGAAGCAGUCAGACCUUUUUUUGAGCUAGAUUCUCAAUUCCUACGGGAAAGAAAGGGAAGGGCAGGCAGGGGAUAAAAAUCUACCCUCGGAUCUAUGAUACAUGAAUGGGAUAAAAAAAACUCCACGGAUCAAACUCCUUACUUGUAUCCCUUUUCCUUAAGUUAGGUGAAAGGGUAAAUUUGUACGAGCCCGUUAUUUUAGUUAGGUUUAAGUUUGACGAGAAUAAUAUUCUACGACAAGCAUUCAUUUUAUUUUCAAACCGACCCAUUGGACUAUCUAUUAUUUGAUUGACUAAUCCUUUAUAUUGGAAUGCGCGAAGAGUCAAAUGCUUUGGCAAUUUCCUCAUGGUGGGAAUGAAUCAAGAUAAUUUUGAACCAGAGAUCUAGAUUUUGGGUCAUCCCCUUACUGUAAUAAUAUCUCGGGUUUGCAACGAUAAUUGGUAUAUCGACUAUACGACCAUUAACUAAAAUAUGUCGAUGGUUAACCAAUUGGCGGGCUUGAGGAAUAGUUGAAGCCAUACCCAAUCGAAAAAGAUGUUAUCCAAACGCAUUUCAAGUAAUUGUAGUAAAACCAGACCGGUUGACCCUUUGGCUUUUCUGGCGAUACGAACAUAUUUAAGUAAUUGUCGUUCUGUAAGACCAUAAUGAAAACGCAAUUUUUGUUUUUCUUCUAAACGAAUUCGAUAUUGAGAUUUUUUUACGGAGCGCAAUUGGUUUCUAAAAUCGCUUCCGGCUCUAGGCCUUUUACUCGUUAGUCCCGGCAAAGCCCCAGACGGCGUAUUUUUUUGAAACGAGGCCCUCGGUAACGUGACAUAAAGACUCCUUAUUUUAUUGAAUUUCAUAAACCUAAAUUAAAACUGAGCUACAUGAUAAAUGAAGCAAAAUCCGCUGAAGUAUUGUACUACAAGAAUACUAAGAUGAUUUGUAUCAAAUUCCAGACCCUUUUUGUAUUGUAUACGCAUAUAGAAUAAAUCAAAAGAGGGUUCCUUUUCUUGAUUUAUUCUGCCGAAAUCGAACUUCCUCCAACUUUUAUUCAUAAUUGGAAGCGGGCUACGGAGGUACAAAUUUUUAGCUCAGAGGUUAGAGCAUCGCAUUUGUAAUGCGAUGGUCAUCGGUUCGAUUCCGAUAGCCGGCUUUUCUCUAUUUGUUUGAUUUUUUACAUGAUUGAUAAUGUCUUUUUGAAAGAAAAGAACAUUGAAAAGGCUUCUUAAGGAUCAUCGAUCCAGUAUGUUUAGGAGCUUCCAAUUAUGAAUAAAAGUUGGAGGAAGUUCGAUUUCGGCAGAAUAAAUCAAGAAAAGGAACCCUCUUUUGAUUUAUAUUUCUAUAUGCGUAUACAAUACAAAAAGGGGUCUGGAAUUUGAUACAAAUCAUCUUAGUAUUCUUUGUAGUACAAUACUUCAGCGGAUUUUGCUUCAUUUAUCAUGUAGCUCAGUUUUAAUUUAGGUUUAUGAAAUUCAAUAAAAUAAGGAGUCUUUAUGUCACGUUACCGAGGGCCUCGUUUCAAAAAAAUACGCCGUCUGGGGCUUUGCCGGGACUAACGAGUUAAAAGGCCUAGAGCCGGAAGCGAUUUUAGAAACCAAUUGCGCUCCGUAAAAAAAUCUCAAUAUCGAAUUCGUUUAGAAGAAAAAACAAAAAUUUGCGUUUUCAUUAUGGUCUUACAGAACGACAAUUACUUAAAUAUGUUCGUAUCGCCAGAAAAGCCAAAGGGUCAACCGGUUCUGGUUUUACUACAAUUACUUGAAAUGCGUUUGGAUAACAUUCUUUUUCGAUUGGGUAUGGCUUCAACUAUUCCUCAAGCCCGCCAAUUGGUUAACCAUCGACAUAUUUUUAGUUUAAUGGUCGUAUAGUCGAUAUACCAAGUUAUCGUUGCAAACCCCGAGAUAUUAUUACAGUAAGGGAUGACCCAAAAUCUAGAUCUCUGGUUCAAAUUAUCUUGAUUCAUCCCACCAUGAGGAAUUGCCAAAGCAUUUGACUCUUCGCGCAUUCCAAUAUAAAGGAUUAGUCAAUCAAAUAAUAGAUAGUCAAUGGGUCGGUUUGAAAAUAAAUGAAUUGCUUGUCGUAGAAUAUUAUUCUCGUCAAACUUAAACCUAACUAAAAUAACGGGCUCGUACAAAUUUACCCUUUCACCUAACUUAAGGAAAGGGAUACAAGGUAAGGAGUUUGAUCCGUGGAGUUUUUUUUUAUCCCAUUCAUGUAUCAUAGAUCCGAGGGUAGAUUUUUAUCCCCUGCCUGCCCCUUCCCUUUCUUUCCCGUAGGAAUUGAGAAUCUAGCUCAAAAAAAGGUCUGACUGCUUCGGUAUUCAUUCUUUUUUGCUUGGAUACAUUCCGGUCAGUAACAUUGAUGAAUUAGUUCAAGGUACGGAAAGAGAGGGAUUCGAACCCCCGGUAAACAAAAGUCUACAUAGCAGUUCCAAUGCUACGCCUUGAACCACUCGGCCAUCUCUCCUACACAAUGAUUAUGACCGAGAACCCGCGUGAAUAGCGAGUUGUUCAAAUUCGAUUGGUAGAUGGGUACGGACAAUCGAAUCCGUUCUAACUAGAAAAAUAGAAACCCUUUCAGCAAAGAAAAAAUUCUUCCUUUGAGUCUGGGGAAAAGGAUAACUUUUUUGUUUGUGAAAAACUGUUCAAAACAAAAAAAUAAGGCUAUAUAUCUUGUUUGCAAAGAUGGCGCUCCUUUUUUUUUUUUUUUCUGAUAUUUCUACCUGAUUUAAUCAAUGAGUUGGAACGAAUCAACGGAUCGGUCUAUUUUUUUUUUAUUUUUUUUAACACGUCUGCUUUUAUGUUAUUUUGUACUGUACAAUUCCUUUGUUUGUGGGAUCAUUUUCUCACAAGAGGUAAUGAAACGAAUUAUAGAAUGGAUUUUUACCUAUGCCUAGAUCGCGGAUAAACGGAAUUUUUAUUGAUAAGACCUUUUCGAUUGUAGCCAAUAUAUUAUUACGAAUAAUUCCGACAACUGUAGGAGAAAAAGAGGCAUUUACCUAUUACAGAGAUGGUGCGAUUUGAUUAGUUUUUUAUUUACCCCUUUCGGUCUUAGAAGAAAGAAAGACAAUUCGGGAUAGAAAAAAAAAAAAAAAAAGAUUAUUGAAAAAAUCUACGCUUGUUGAAGGUGAAGUUUAUAGAUAAAACCAUUCCUUCUGUCGUGUAUCCCCGAUUAAUGCAGCCUCAGAUGCUUCAAUUGUCGAUUCUAGUAUUGAGCGAAAGGUUACACCUAUGGGUUCUGUAUUGCAAGUCAACCCUACUACACCAGUACCAAUAGGCGGCAUAGGGGAAGAGGCGCUACGUCUAGGAAGCAACACGAAAACUUUGUUAUAAGCUGCCCCUUUCCUUAGCGGGAUCGGGACUAAGAAGAAUGGUUGGGAUAACAAACAUCCAUCUCGUUCGUACUGUGGAUACCCGUAUAACCAUCGAAGACUGUUGAAGUGAUUAAUUCCUGUAAAUUAAGGGGCGUUGAGAACAAAGAAAUUGUUGGAGUUUCCGGUUUUAUCUAGUACCAACACGCGUGAUAUUAAGAAAAAAGCUUUUGCAGGAAGGUUGGCUAGAGAUUUCUUGUAAAAACAUUAGCCCCACUUAGUUCAUAAUGAGAAUAUUUCAAUCUUUUUUGAUUUCAUGGAUUAUUCUCAUAAUGCACAUAAAGGAGGAGCCGUAUGAGAUUUUCAUCUCAUGUACGGUUUUGAAACGGAGAAUUCUUUGAAUCGAAUGACGACCGUAACGGAUGUCAGCUCAAUCUGAAGGCAAUUAUGCGAAGCUUUACAAAUUAUUAUGAAGCUAUGCGACUAGAAAUUGAUCCUUACGAUCGAAGCUAUAUACUCUAUAACAUAGGCCUUAUCCACACAAGUAACGGAGAACAUACAAAAGCUUUAGAAUAUUAUUUUCGGCACUAGAACGAAAUCCGUUCUUACCACAAGCUUUUAAUAAUAUGGCUGUGAUCUGUCAUUACGUGCGACUAUCUCUACUAUAGAAAGAAAAAAGUAAAAGAAAAAAAAAAGGAGGGGGGGUAAAGAGCAAAUACACUAAUAAAUACUCGAAAAAAAAAAUAGGCUUUCUACAUAUGCAUCGUGCAAAAACGAUUUUUAUCAGCUGUAGCAAAGAAAGAACUUCAUAGAAGUCGAAAUUAUGAAGAAAUCGAUAUGCCUAGAUAGUUUAUUCUAUGGAUAAAGGAUCUAAUUGAUAGAGGAAGCACCGUAAAGAUCAAUUCGCCGAGGUUUUGGGCCGAUGCCGAUCCAAUAAGAACUGCUUAUUUAUGUCAUGAUAUGAGAUAAAAGUAAGGAAAUCCACUUAUGUAAUAAAGUCGAUCCCCUAAGGUAUUGAGCAGCGGUUGUAGCAUCAGAUCCCAAGACAGUAAGCCUUUUCUUUCUUAGGAAGAAGGGCUUUUUCAAAGAUUCUAUAUCAAUUUUUAUAUGAAACCGAGAUAGAUACCUUUCAGAAAAUUCUAACUAUAGUGGAAAUGCUUCUAUGUU
rnacentral:lncRNA from 1 species